rnacentral:rRNA from 1 species
AACAGGAUUAGAUACCCUGGUAGUCCACGCCGUAAACGAUGUCGACUUGGAGGUUGUUCCCUUGAGGAGUGGCUUCCGGAGCUAACGCGUUAAGUCGACCGCCUGGGGAGUACGGCCGCAAGGUUAAAACUCAAAUGAAUUGACGGGGGCCCGCACAAGCGGUGGAGCAUGUGGUUUAAUUCGAUGCAACGCGAAGAACCUUACCUACUCUUGACAUCCAGCGAACUUAGCAGAGAUGCUUUGGUGCCUUCGGGAACGCUGAGACAGGUGCUGCAUGGCUGUCGUCAGCUCGUGUUGUGAAAUGUUGGGUUAAGUCCCGCAACGAGCGCAACCCUUAUCCUUUGUUGCCAGCGAUUCGGUCGGGAACUCAAAGGAGACUGCCGGUGAUAAACCGGAGGAAGGUGGGGAUGACGUCAAGUCAUCAUGGCCCUUACGAGUAGGGCUACACACGUGCUACAAUGGCGCACACAAAGAGAAGCGACCUCGCGAGAGCAAGCGGACCUCACAAAGUGCGUCGUAGUCCGGAUCGGAGUCUGCAACUCGACUCCGUGAAGUCGGAAUCGCUAGUAAUCGUGGAUCAGAAUGCCACGGUGAAUACGUUCCCGGGCCUUGUACACACCGCCCGUCACACCAUGGGAGUGGGUUGCAAAAGAAGUAGGUAGCUUAACCUUCGGGAGGGCGCUUACCACUUUGUGAUUCAUGACUGGGGUGAAGUCGUAACAAGGUAACC